CCUCCCUCCCCGCUUGCCAGUCUACCUCUUUCCCCAAAGGCCCCUCCUAAUCCCUCGCUCCUCGCCGCGGGAGGCCCUAAGCUGGCUUUUCAGGCUCUUUCCUCAGCGCGCUCUGGCUCUCGGCUCUUUCAAUGCCGCUCCCUGGCAGGAGACGUGUUGGACAAGUGGAGGGAUCCGUCCCCCGCCAGCAAGGUCAAGGUGCGCUUAAAGGCAGCUUCUUCUCUCGACUGGGCGGCGGGCGCCGAUGGGCCAGCUUUGAAGAAGCGCAGGAACAAUACCAAGAGUUUCCAUGUAGAUCAGAGAUUCCAAAGGCUCCAAAAGCUUUAGCUAUGGCUACCAAAACCACUCCAAAAACUACUGUACCACUACACUGGUUUUUUUAUAUGAUGGGAAAAUAUUAAAUACAUGGAGAAUAGCUAUUUAAUUAAAAUCAAAAUUAACUUUU